rnacentral:rRNA from 1 species
UACGAAGGGGGCUAGCGUUGUUCGGAAUCACUGGGCGUAAAGCGCACGUAGGCGGAUCUUUAAGUCAGGGGUGAAAUCCUGGAGCUCAACUCCAGAACUGCCUUUGAUACUGGGGGAUCUCGAGUCCGGAAGAGGUGAGUGGAACUCCGAGUGUAGAGGUGAAAUUCGUAGAUAUUCGGGAAGAACACCAGUGGCGAAGGCGGCUCACUGGUCCGGUACUGGACGCUGAGGUGCGAAAAGCGUGGGGGAGCAAACGG